CCUACGGGAGGCAGCAGUGAGGAAUAUUGGUCAAUGGGCGCGAGCCUGAACCAGCCAAGUAGCGUGAAGGAUGACUGCCCUACGGGUUGUAAACUUCUUUUAUAAAGGAAUAAAGUGAGGCGCGUGUGCCUUUGUGUGUAUACUUUAUGAAUAAGGAUCGGCUAACUCCGUGCCAGCCGCCGCGGUAAUGCGGAGGAUCCGAGCGUUAUCCGGAUUUAGUGGGUUUAAAGGGAGCGUAGAUGGGUUGUUAAGUCAGUUGUGAAAGUUUGCGGCUCAACCGUAAAAUUGCAAUUGAUACUGGCAGUCUUGAGUACAGGUGAGGUAGGCGGAAUUCGUGGGGUAGCGGUGAAAUGCUUAGAUAUCACGAAGAACUCCGAUUGCGAAGGCAGCUUACUAAACUGCCACUGACAUUGAUGCUCGAAAGUGUGGGUAUCAAACAGGAUUAGAUACCCGGGUAGUC
rnacentral:rRNA from 1 species